GACGAACGCUGGCGGCGUGCCUAAUACAUGCAAGUAGGACGCACAGUCUAUACCGUAGCUUGCUACACCAUAGGCUGUGAGUUGCGAACGGGUGAGUAACGCGUAGGUAACCUGCCUAUUAGAGGGGGAUAACUAUUGGAAACGAUAGCUAAUACCGCAUAACAGUAUGUAACACAUGUUAGAUGCUUGAAAGAUGCAAUUGCAUCGCUAGUAGAUGGACCUGCGUUGUAUUAGCUAGUAGGUAGGGUAAUGGCCUACCUAGGCGACGAUACAUAGCCGACCUGAGAGGGUGAUCGGCCACACUGGGACUGAGACACGGCCCAGACUCCUACGGGAGGCAGCAGUAGGGAAUCUUCGGCAAUGGGGGAAACUCUGACCGAGCAACGCCGCGUGAGUGAAGAAGGUUUUCGGAUCGUAAAGCUCUGUUGUUAAGGAAGAACGAGUGUGAGAAUGGAAAGUUCAUACUGUGACGGUACUUAACCAGAAAGGGACGGCUAACUACGUG
rnacentral:rRNA from 1 species